AUGACUCUCGGCAACGGAUAUCUAGGCCCUCGCAUCGAUGAAGAACGUAGCGAAAUGCGAUACUUGGUGUGAAUUGCAGAAUCCCGUGAACCAUCGAGUCUUUGAACGCAAGUUGCGCCCGGAGCCCCGAGGCCGAGGGCACCCCUGCUUGGGAGUCA
rnacentral:rRNA from 1 species